rnacentral:rRNA from 1 species
UGGGGGAUAUUGCACAAUGGGCGAAAGCCUGAUGCAGCGACGCCGCGUGGGGGAUGAAGGCCUUCGGGUUGUAAACUUCUUUUGCUCUGAACAAGGCAUGCCUUUGGGGUGUGUUGAGUGUAGGGGUUGAUUAGCGCCGGCUAACUACGUGCCAGCAGCCGCGGUAAUACGUAGGGCGCGAGCGUUGUCCGGAAUUAUUGGGCGUAAAGGGCUUGUAGGUGGCUGGUUGCGUUUGUCGUGAAAGCUCAUGGCUUAACUGUGGGUGUGCGGUAGGUACGGGCUGGCUUGAGUGCAGUAGGGGAGGCUGGAAUUCCGGGUGUAGCGGUGGAAUGCGCAGAUAUCAGGAGGAAUACCGGUGGCGAAGGCGGGUCUCUGGGCUGUUACUGACGCUGGGGAGCGAAAGCGUGGGGAGCGAACAGG